GUGUCAGCAGCCGCGGUAAUACGUAGGUGGCAAGCGUUACUCGGAAUCACUAGGCGUAAAGCGCAGGUAGGCGGUUUGGAAAGUUCGUUGUGAAAGCUCCCGGCUUAACUGGGAGAGGUCAACGGAAACUACCAGGCUAGAGUGUGGUAGAGGUAGCUGGAAUUCCCGGUGUAGCGGUGAAAUGCGUAGAUAUCGGGAGGAAUACCUAUGGCGAAAGCAGGCUACUGGACCAUCACUGACGCUGAUCUGCGAAAGCUAGGGGAGCAAACAGGAUUAGAUACCCUGGUAGUCCUAGCCCUAAACGAUGCUCAUUAGGUGUGGGAGGUAUCGACCCCUUCCGCGCCGUAGCUAACGCAUUAAAUGAGCCGCCUGGGGAGUACGGCCGCAAGGUUGAA
rnacentral:rRNA from 1 species